UACGUAGGGUGCAAGCGUUGUCCGGAAUUAUUGGGCGUAAAGAGCUCGUAGGCGGUCUGUUGCGUCGGCUGUGAAAACCCGGGGCUCAACCCCGGGCCUGCAGCCGAUACGGGCAGACUAGAGUUCGGCAGGGGAGACUGGAAUUCCUGGUGUAGCGGUGAAAUGCGCAGAUAUCAGGAGGAACACCGGUGGCGAAGGCGGGUCUCUGGGCCGAUACUGACGCUGGGGUGCGAAAGCAUGGGGAGCGAACAGG
rnacentral:rRNA from 1 species